rnacentral:rRNA from 1 species
CAUGAUGAACGCUAGCUACAGGCUUAACACAUGCAAGUCGAGGGGCAGCAUGGUCUUAGCUUGCUAAGGCCGAUGGCGACCGGCGCACGGGUGAGUAACACGUAUCCAACCUGCCGUCUACUCUUGGACAGCCUUCUGAAAGGAAGAUUAAUACAAGAUGGCAUCAUGAGUCCGCAUGUUCACAUGAUUAAAGGUAUUCCGGUAGACGAUGGGGAUGCGUUCCAUUAGAUAGUAGGCGGGGUAACGGCCCACCUAGUCUUCGAUGGAUAGGGGUUCUGAGAGGAAGGUCCCCCACAUUGGAACUGAGACACGGUCCAAACUCCUACGGGAGGCAGCAGUGAGGAAUAUUGGUCAAUGGGCGAGAGCCUGAACCAGCCAAGUAGCGUGAAGGAUGACUGCCCUAUGGGUUGUAAACUUCUUUUAUAAAGGAAUAAAGUCGGGUAUGGAUACCCGUUUGCAUGUACUUUAUGAAUAAGGAUCGGCUAACUCCGUGCCAGCAGCCGCGGUAAUACGGAGGAUCCGAGCGUUAUCCGGAUUUAUUGGGUUUAAAGGGAGCGUAGAUGGAUGUUUAAGUCAGUUGUGAAAGUUUGCGGCUCAACCGUAAAAUUGCAGUUGAUACUGGAUAUCUUGAGUGCAGUUGAGGCAGGCGGAAUUCGUGGUGUAGCGGUGAAAUGCUUAGAUAUCACGAAGAACUCCGAUUGCGAAGGCAGCCUGCUAAGCUGCAACUGACAUUGAGGCUCGAAAGUGUGGGUAUCAAACAGGAUUAGAUACCCUGGUAGUCCACACGGUAAACGAUGAAUACUCGCUGUUUGCGAUAUACGGCAAGCGGCCAAGCGAAAGCGUUAAGUAUUCCACCUGGGGAGUACGCCGGCAACGGUGAAACUCAAAGGAAUUGACGGGGGCCCGCACAAGCGGAGGAACAUGUGGUUUAAUUCGAUGAUACGCGAGGAACCUUACCCGGGCUUAAAUUGCAGAUGAAUUACGGUGAAAGCCGUAAGCCGCAAGGCAUCUGUGAAGGUGCUGCAUGGUUGUCGUCAGCUCGUGCCGUGAGGUGUCGGCUUAAGUGCCAUAACGAGCGCAACCCUUGUUGUCAGUUACUAACAGGUUCCGCUGAGGACUCUGACAAGACUGCCAUCGUAAGAUGUGAGGAAGGUGGGGAUGACGUCAAAUCAGCACGGCCCUUACGUCCGGGGCUACACACGUGUUACAAUGGGGGGUACAGAGGGCCGCUACCACGCGAGUGGAUGCCAAUCCCCAAAACCUCUCUCAGUUCGGACUGGAGUCUGCAACCCGACUCCACGAAGCUGGAUUCGCUAGUAAUCGCGCAUCAGCCACGGCGCGGUGAAUACGUUCCCGGGCCUUGUACACACCGCCCGUCAAGCCAUGGGAGCCGGGGGUACCUGAAGUGCGUAACCGCGAGGAGCGCCCUAGGGUAAAACU